UUGGUACUACAUGUACAGGAUAGGUGGGAGGCUUUGAAACCAGGACGCCAGUUUUGGCGGAGCCAUCCUUGGGAUACCACCCUUGUAGUACUGGGACUCUAACCAUAGGCCAUGAAUCUGGUCUUGGGACACUGUCAGGUGGGCAGUUUGACUGGGGCGGUCGCCUCCCAAAAGGUAACGGAGGCGCUCAAAGGUUCUCUCAGUACGGUCGGAAAUCGUACGUAGAGUGUAAAGGCAAAAGAGAGCUUGAUUGCAAGACAUACAGGUCGAGCAAGGAUGAAAAUCGGACUUAGUGAUCCGGUGGUUCUGCGUGGAAGGGCCAUCGCUCAACGGAUAAAAGCUACCCUGGGGAUAACAGGCUUAUCUCCCCCAAGAGUCCACAUCGACGGGGAGGUUUGGCACCUCGAUGUCGGCUCAUCACAUCCUGGGGCUGUAGUAGGUCCCAAGGGUUGGGCUGUUCGCCCAUUAAAGUGGUACGCGAGCUGGGUUCAGAACGUCGUGAGACAGUUCGGUCCCUAUCCGUCGCAGGCGUAGGAAAUUUGAGAAGACCUGUCCUUAGUACGAGAGGACCGGGAUGGACGUACCUCUGGUGUACCAGUUGU
rnacentral:rRNA from 1 species